ACACGUCAUGUAUAAUUAAUACUUGAAUUAUUUUAUCAAUAUAAUAUUUAUUAUUUACACACAAUUAAAUGUUCAAAGUUUAUAAGAACAUGUUGGAUUGCAAGAUAGUGUAUCAACUAAUCCACAGUUAUGUUGAUGAAAUUAUAUAACCUCACUUUGUGAUGCGUGGACGAAAGUGAAAAGGAAAUAGAAGGUCGAUAUGGUCGAUAAUGUCACCAAAUAACUUGACCGGUAUAGUAGAAUCUGGGAAUUUGUCCUGUUGUUUGGCACACGUUGCAAGACUAACUACUACUUGAGAAAAACUGAGAGAGACAGAUAUUAUUUUCAAUAAAUCAUCUCAAUGAUCAUGAGUCAACAUAAUUUU